UACGGGGGGGGCAAGCGUUGUUCGGAAUUACUGGGCGUAAAGGGCUCGUAGGCGGCCAACUAAGUCAGACGUGAAAUCCCCAGGCUCAACCUGGGAACUGCGUCUGAUACUGGAUGGCUUGAAUCCGGGAGAGGGAUGCAGAAUUCCAGGUGUAGCGGUGAAAUGCGUAGAGAUCCGGAGGAACCCCAGAGGCGAAGGCGGCGUCCUGGCCCAUUUCUGACGUUCAGACAUGACAGCAUGGGGAGCGAACGGG
rnacentral:rRNA from 1 species